rfam:Gossypium hirsutum cultivar TM-1 chromosome 18, whole genome shotgun sequence
AAUCUGUGGUGUGGGCAUUUAUGAAUUAUCAUUUUAAAACGUUCCCAUGCUUCAUGAAAGUUUCCCCCUCUAGCUGUUUGAACAUCAAAAUUUCCCUUCUUAGCU